CCCUUAGAUGUCCUGGGCCGCACGCGCGCUACACUGAUGCAUUCAACGAGCCUAGCCUUGACCGAGAGGUCCGGGUAAUCUUUGAAACUGCAUCGUGAUGGGGCUAGAUUAUUGCAAUUAUUAAUCUUCAACGAGGAAUGCCUAGUAAGCGUGAUUCAUCAAAUCGCGUUGAUUACGUCCCUGCCCUUUGUACACACCGCCCGUCGCUCCUACCGAUUGAGUGUGUUGGUGAGGAGUUCGGAUUGGCUCUUAGUGGUGGUUCGCCACCACCUAGAGCUGAGAAGUUCUCCAAACCGCCCCACUUAGAGGAAGGAGAAGUCGUAACA
rnacentral:rRNA from 1 species